rnacentral:tRNA from 2 species
GGGCCUGUAGCUCAGUUGGUUAGAGCAGACCGCUCAUAACGGUCUGGCCGGGGGUUCGAGUCCCUCCGGGCCCACCA